GAUGAACGCUAGCGGCAGGCUUAACACAUGCAAGUCGAGGGGUAUGGUUCUUCGGAACCAGAGACCGGCGCACGGGUGCGUAACGCGUAUGCAAUCUACCUUUUACAGAGGGAUAGCCCAGAGAAAUUUGGAUUAAUACCUCAUAGUAUAACAUGACUGCAUGGUCGAGUUAUUAAAGUCACAACGGUAAAAGAUGAGCA
rnacentral:rRNA from 1 species